CCGAGUGGGCCGCGAUCGGCCGAGGAUUUGGGGUACUCUUUGACCCAGGCGGGGCGCGAUCCGCCUAGGAUUUGGGGUCCCCUGGCGCCGAACCCUGAGUUGCCAGAUUUAGCAAGUAAAAGUACAGUUCUUCUAAAUUUGAAUUUCAGACAGGACAGGUUUUAGGGUUCGUCUCCUGUAAUGUUGAGAAGGAUUUCCCUCAUCUACCUUUCUUUGGGAGAUACGACUAAAACCAACAAAAGCCAAGUUUGGUAAAUAAGAAGUUUAAACAAGUGCUUCUCUGUACAGCUCAUCCACUUCCUCAUCUGUAAACCGAUCCCCCAUGGUUGUCAGCAGCUCUCUCAAGUAAUCUUCCUGAAUGGUGCCUGGAGAAUAAAGAACAAGGGAUCAGAAUACAUACUAUUCUGAGGGUUAAUUACAAAGAAUAUCUAUACUCAACUAAGCAUGUUCUGUAUGUUACAAACUAUAAACAUGCAAAGAUAUAUGAACUACAGGGUGUCCACCUACUUAAAACAGCCUCAGCAGAGAAGUGCCUAGAAAAAUGCCUAGCUGCUUAGCAGCACUGCUCCGCUCUAUCAUUUGCUCUAUCAUUCUGCCUCCACAUUCAGCUUCUGAUCUCUUGAUAAGAGAGACUAAACCUAUGCCUAAACAAAGUAAUAAAAAGUAUGGUUAAAGAAUCUAAGCCUUACGGUUCCUUAAAGUGGCAUGAAUGGUCACAUCUUAUUCUACAAGCAAGUAACAUUUACCUGCCAGGCUAAAAUCAACACUACAUCAUACACAUCAAUAAAGUGGUACAGUGGAAAGAAUACUGGAAACUUGAGGCCCAGUUUUAACAAGCUAUUUUAUUUCAGGCAUUUCACUUUAUCCCUGACUUUGGUUUUCUCAGAUGUAAAAUGAGAUUUUUACUGUUUACAA
rnacentral:lncRNA from 1 species